CUUAGCACCGAGUAAGCACUCAGUAAGUACUUGGUGAGUGCUUGCUGGGUGCCAGGCA
rnacentral:pre_miRNA from 1 species